rnacentral:rRNA from 1 species
UACAGGGGGUGCAAACGUUGCUCGGAAUUAUUGGGCGUAAAGCGCGCGUAGGCGGCUACUUAAGUCGGAUGUGAAAGCCCUUGGCUCAACUGAGGAAGUGCACCCGAAACUGAGUGGCUUGAGUACUAAAGAGGGUCGCGGAAUUCCCGGUGUAGAGGUGAAAUUCGUAGAUAUCGGGAGGAACACCGGUGGCGAAGGCGGUUGCCUGGAGCUUUGCUGACGCUGAGGCGCGAAAGCGUGGGGAGCGAUCCGG